rnacentral:snoRNA from 1 species
GAGUCAAUGAUGAAAUCUUUGCCUUGUCUCUAGAGGACAGCUGUCUUAAAUGUCAUGCUCAAUAUAGUCACCCUGAGGACC